AUGGGGCUGUUUGAUAGUGCGUUCGCAGGGCAGCGGGGCAGCUCCCGCAGAGCCGCCCGGUCCCUGCGAUGCGACGUGAGCGCGCUGCUCUGCCUCUGCCUGCUGCUGGGGGCCGCUGCCGUGGGACAGCGCCGGGGGAGAAGGAAAGCAGCAGCCGGCGGGGGCUGCAGGGAGGGGAAGGGAGUGGAUCCGGUCCCUUCAGUCUCACGACUUGGCGUCACCUUCGGACCCUGUGCUGAGAGCUCGGGAAGGGAAGGGGUUAAGGUGGGAGAGAGGGGUCUGGGCUGGAUGAAAACGGUGCAAAAAAUGCUGUUUCCUGGGUGGCAUGCAGCUGUUCCGGGGUACAUUCUGCUCACACUGCACCUGCUGCAGCAGGAGUGCAGCACCUCCGGCUCCCCACUGCUUUGCUGUGCAGCUCUGGGGCGGCUCCAGUGUGCCCUGCAGAGCCCUGAGAACUCACACACCGCAUCGGAUAUCGGGCAGUUCCUCUCCUCGCCUUGUGUAUUUCUUGCAUAUCCUUCGCAGUUUGAUGGGGACAAGGUGUUUGGCACCGGGGCCAGCUUUAGUUUACAAAUGAAUCUAUCAACAUUGUUCCUCAUCAGGCAGGAAUGCGCUUCCCUCCCUUCUCCCCCACCUUAUCCCCAUCCCCUUCCGAGCGAACUUCCUUCCUUGUGCAAUCUGGAUCGGAAGCCGUGCCGCAUACUUGACCGGCUCAAGGAAAGCGGCUCGGCUCCCCGUGCCUUUGUGGCUCACACGGGGCCGGCGGGCGCAGAAAGACCGGAGGCCGAGGCUCCCCGCACGCUAUGGAUGCUCCACGUGAGCUCCCUGUUGCUCGGUUGCCGUUUCCAAACAAUCUGGCACGUUUCUGGGCACGGGCCCAGCCCUGGAGAGCCCGAGGUUGGCUGUGAGCUGCAGGCCCCGUGCAGUGCUCCGUGGCCGGGGGCAGCAGAGAGGUGUCGGUGCCACACGAGGGGACAUUCGUGCCCGGAGGAUGUCUGCUCGCUGGGACCGCUCCUUUCCCAACACCUGCCAACACCUGGGCAGAACACCUGGGACUUCCAGGCCAACGCGCUCCCACCCUCUCACGUCACUCCUCACUGCACGUCCUGCAGAGGUCACGGCUGCGUCCCCCCCGAGCCACCCCGACACACGUGGCCUCAAACCCAGCUCGGGAACGGCAGAGAGACGCGCCACGGGGCCGCAGCCGGAGAGCCCCGCACGCAGCCGAGGGCUGAAGCAACGAGCGGCUCUCCAUCUCCGAGCGUGUCAAAUCCGGCGGCUGUCCGCCUGGACGGCGUUUUCCCGCUGUCACGCACGCGCCGUGCGCUCGGGGCGGGACGGCAGCAGCGCCGCAGCACCGCCAGCGGGACCGGGCCGGCACCGAGCGGAGUGAACGCGCGGGGUGGGCUGCGGCAGGACGGCAGGAUCCGCUCCCCCCGCGGGCACCGUGCCCUGAGGUGCGCCCACCGCCCCGCCGCCCCCCACCGUGACCGCCCCCCCACGCGCCCCCCGGGACGGGGACGCCCCCCGGCCCGCCUCGAUCUGCGGCCGUUCCCGGCGGGAGCGCGCGUGCGCGCCCUCGGCCGGGUCCGUGCGCUGGGAAGAAAAGCCGCCGCCUUUCCCACGCUCUCCGACACAUUUUAA
ensembl:lncRNA